rnacentral:rRNA from 1 species
AUGGAGGGUGCUCUGGUGAGUGUGGCGACGGGGACCCUGAAACCCGUCCUGGGGAAGCUGGCCUCUCUGAUGGGCGACGAGUACAAGCGUCUCAAGGGGGUGCGCGGCGAGAUCAAGUUUCUGACCGAUGAGCUUACCGCAAUGCAUGCCUUUCUCCUGAACAUGUCAGAGGAGGAGGAUCCUGAUGUGCAGGAUAAAGUUUGGAUGAAUGAGGUGCGCGAGCUGUCCUACGGCAUGGAGGACUCCAUCGAUGACUUCAUGAAACAUGUAGAUGACAACGACACAAAGCCAGGUAGCUUCACGGAGAGGAUCAAGAACUUGUUGGGGAAGAUGAAGACUCGCCAUCGGAUUGCAAACGAGAUCCAAGAUUUGAAGAAACGUAUCAUUGAGGUGGGCGAGAGGACUGCAAGGUACACAACUCGUGAUGCCUUGUCCAAAACCGUCAAUGUGACCGUUGACCCUAGAGCUCUUGCAAUCUUUGAGCAUGCCUCAAUGCUCGUCGGAAUUGAUGAACCGAAGGCAACGCUAAUCAAACUCUUGACUGAAGAGGACGGAUGUGCAUCAACACAAUAUCAACAAGUGAAGAUGGUCUCUGUCGUUGGAUCUGCAGGAAUGGGCAAGACAACUCUUGCAAACCAAGUGUAUCAAGAGCUCAAAGGCAAACUCAAGUGUCGGGCUUUCGUGUCAGUGUCACGCAAUCCAGACAUCAUGAAUAUUCUCAGAACUAUUUAUGGUGAAGUUAGCGGGAAACCUUAUACUGACACAGAAGCAGGGAGUGUACAACAACUCCUCGCCAUUAUCUCCAACUUCCUUGCAGACAAGAGCUACUUUAUUGUUGUUGACGAUAUAUGGAAGAAGGAAACAUGGGAUGUUAUUAAGUACGCAUUCCCCAUGACCAGUUGUGGCAUAAUAAUCACCACUACUCGUAUGAAAGAUGUCGCUAAUUCAUGUCAGACGUCAUUCGGUGGCCAUAUUUAUAACAUAAGGCCUCUUGAUAUUGUUUAUUCAAGACAGUUAUUUCACGGAAGAUUAUUUAACUCCGAAGAAAAUUGCCCUCCAUACCUUAAAGAAGUUUCUGAUCAAAUCUUGAAAAAAUGUGAUGGGUUACCUUUGGCGAUCAUCGCUAUAUCUGGUUUGUUGGCUAACACAGAAAGAAUAGAGGGCCUAUGGAACCAAGUGAAAGAUUCAAUUGGCCGUGCACUUGAAAGAAAUUCUAGCGUUGAAGGAAUGAUGAAGAUAUUGUCACUUAGUUAUUUUGAUCUGCCUCCUCAUCUGAAGACGUGUCUCUUAUAUGUGAGUAUAUUUCCGGAGGAUUCUUUUAUUGGGAAGAAUGAUAUCAUAAGUAGGUGGAUAGGUGAAGAAUUCAUUCACAAAGAAGGCAGAUAUACAUCACAUGAGAUAGGAGAAAGGUGUUUUAAUGAGCUCCUUAAUAGGGGUUUGAUUCAACCGGGGAAGACAAAUGAAUAUGGUGAGGUAGAGAGUUGCCAAGUUCAUGACACAAUUCUUGAUUUCAUCAUAUCCAAGUCCAUAGAAGAGAACUUCGUUACUUUACUAGGUGUUCCAAUUCUGACAAUUGGGACACAAAGCAAAGUCGUUCGUCGACUCUUUCUACAAGGAAUUAAUCAAGGAAAUUCAACAAUACAGCCAGCAGGUUUGGUGUUGUCCCAUGUACGAUCACUGGGUGUGUUUGGAGGUUUUGUGGAAAUCCCUUCUCUGGAGGAAUUCAAACAUCUGUGUGUUCUCCACUUGAGCCAUUGCCAAUCAUUGGAAGAACAUCAUCUUGAGAAUAUAGUGAGGUUGCCCCAGCUAAGGUACCUGAACCUCAAAAAUACAGAAAUAAGGAAGCUCCCAGAACAAAUCGGGCGUUUAGGUUGCCUAGAGUUGUUGGACCUAAGACACACUUGUGUAGAGGAAUUGCCUGCAUCUAUUGUUAAUCUCAAAAAAUUGACGCAUCUUCUUGUUGACUAUGGUGUUAAAUUUCCUGAUGGAAUUGAGGAGAUGCAAGCAUUGGAGACAUUGGAAGAGGUCAGGUUCUCCAACCAACCAUUUGGCUUCCUGUCCGGCCUUGGCCAACUAAAGAAUUUGAGGAAUCUGGUUCUUUUCUUUGGUUUCGAAGAGUAUUCUGACACUAAGGAUGCAAAUAUGGUUGAAGAGGAGUGCAUCAAAUCUAUCAUCUCUUCCCUGUGUAAACUAGGCACCCAGGACCUUCGCUCUCUAACUAUUUGGGAUUGGAGCAGCCUCUUACAAGAACCUUUGUGCCCGCUUACCCUCGAUAGACUUAUUAACUUCUCGUUAGGCGCCCCACAGGUUCCGAAAUGGGUGAGCUCCCUCAGAAACCUCCAAGAGAUACACCUUAUAGUGGAUGAAGUCAAGCAGGAUGAUCUCUGCAUCCUUGGGGCCUUACCCACUCUGCUCAUUCUGCAUCUGGAGGAAGAAACAAUGUCAAACAAAAAAAUCAGAGUCAGUGGUGAAGUUGGGUUCCAAUUCUUGAGGAUUUUUAUUUAUGAGGCAAAUCCUCACCCGGUAGAUCUGAUGUUUGCGGCAGGAUCCAUGCCCAAGCUAGAAAAACUCGUGCUUUCUUUCCGCAUAGCAGCUGGCUCUCUGGACUUUGGAAUCAAGAACCUCCCCUGCCUCAGUACGGUCAAAUGUAGUACAAAUGCCGACGAUGGCAUUUUUGGAGCCAUACAGACUGCCGUGGAGAGAGCAGCCAGCACACACCCCAAUCACCCUAGUUUACUCUUUCGGAGAGAUGUCAAAUGUAGUACAAACAAGGCUCCAUACUUCUCUCCUUUAUGA